AUUCUGGUUGAUCCUGCCAGUAGUUAUAUGCUUGUCUCAAAGAUUAAGCCAUGCAUGUCUAAGUACACACGAGCUCGGGGAGGUAGUGACGAAAAAUAACAAUGCAGGACUCAUAUCCGAGGCCCUGUAAUUGGAAUGAGUACACUUUAAAUCCUUUAACAAGGACCUAUUGGAGGGAUAUUAAAGUUGUUGCGGUUAAAACGUUCGUAGUUGAACUUGUGCUUCAUACGGGUAGUACAACUUAAAAUUGUAGUUAGUACUAUACCUUAAUGUGUGUAAGCGUAUUACCGGUGGAGUUCUUAUAUUUAAUUAAAUACUUGCAUUUUUUUAUAUAUUCCUCCUAUUUAAAAACCUGCAUUAGUGCUCUUCAUCGAGUGUUAUUGUGGGCCGGUACAAUUACUUUGAACAAAUUUGAGUGCUUAAAGCAGGCUUCAAAUGCUUGAAUAUUCUGUGCAUGGGAUAAUGAAAUAAGACCUCUGUUCUGCUUUCAUUGGUUUUCAGAUCAAGAGGUAAUGAUUAAUAGAAGCAGUUUGGGCGCAUUAGUAUUACGACGCGAGAGGUGAAUUUCUUGGACCACCGUAAGACUAACUUAAGCGAAAGCAUUUGCCAAAGAUGUUUUCAUUAAUCAAGAACGAAAGUUAGAGGCUCGAAGGCGAUCAGAUACCGCCCUAGUUCUAACCAUAAACGAUGCCAGCUAGCAAUUGGGUGUAGCUACUUUUAUGGCUUUCUCAGUCGCUUCCCGGGAAACCAAAGCUUUUGGGCUCCGGGGGAAGUAUGGUUGCAAAGCUGAAACUUAAAGGAAUUGACGGAAGGGCACCACAAGGAGUGGAGCCUGCGGCUUAAUUUGACUCAACACGGGAAAACUUACCAGGUCCGAACAUAAGUGUGUAAGACAGAUUGAUAGCUCUUUCUCGAAUCUAUGGGUGGUGGUGCAUGGCCGUUCUUAGUUCGUGGAGUGCUUUGUCUGGUUAAUUCCGAUAACGAACGAGACUCAAAUAUAUUAAAUAGAUAUCUUCAGGAUUAUGGUGUUGAAGCUUAUAUAGCCUUCAUUCGUAGUGGCAGUAAAAUGUUUAUUGUGUUUGAAUGUGCUUAUAUAAGUGGAGCCGUGCCUGUUGGUUUGUCCCGUUAUAAGGACACUAGCUUCUUAAAUGGAAAAAUUGCAUCUAGCAAUAAUGAGAUUGAGCAAUAACAGGUCUGUGAUGCCCUCAGAUGUCCUGGGCUGCACGCGCGCUACAAUGAAACCGCUGAACCACUUUCAUGCUUAGGAUUGUGAACUGAAACUGUUCACAUGAACUUGGAAUUCCCAGUAAGUGUGAGUCAUUAACUCGCAUUGAUUACGUCCCUGCCCUUUGUACACACCGCCCGUCGCUACUACCGAUUGAAUUAUUUAGUGAGGUCUCCGGACGUGAUCACUGUGACGCCUGGUGUGUUGCGGUUGUUUCGCAAAAGUUAACCGUACUUGAAUUUUUAGAGGAAGUAAAAGUCGUCACAAGGUUUCUGAAGGUGAACCUGCGGAAGGAUCAUUA
rfam:Drosophila virilis strain TSC#15010-1051.87 Ctg01_13547, whole genome shotgun sequence.